AUCCAGCUGGCGGGUCUCAAACAGGACGAAACGCGCGUCCUGGAU
rnacentral:hammerhead_ribozyme from 1 species